rnacentral:rRNA from 1 species
AGUGAACGCUGGCGGUAGGCCUAACACAUGCAAGUCGAACGGCAGCACAGUAAGAGCUUGCUCUUACGGGUGGCGAGUGGCGGACGGGUGAGGAAUACAUCGGAAUCUACUUUUUCGUGGGGGAUAACGUAGGGAAACUUACGCUAAUACCGCAUACGACCUACGGGUGAAAGCAGGGGAUCUUCGGACCUUGCGCGAUUGAAUGAGCCGAUGUCGGAUUAGAUAGUUGGCGGGGUAAAGGCCCACCAAGGCGACGAUCCGUAGCUGGUCUGAGAGGAUGAUCGGCCACACUGGAACUGAGACACGGUCCAGACUACUACGGGAGGCAGCAGUGGGGAAUAUUGGACAAUGGGCGCAAGCAUGAUCCAGCCAUACCGCGUGGGUGAAGAAGGCCUUCGGGUUGUAAAGCCCUUUUGUUGGGAAAGAAAAGCAGCAGGUUAAUACCCCGCUGUUCUGACGGUACCCAAAGAAUAAGCACCGGCUAACUUCGUG